rnacentral:rRNA from 1 species
UACGUAGGGUGCAAGCGUUAAUCGGAAUUACUGGGCGUAAAGCGUGCGCAGGCGGUUAUGCAAGACAGAUGUGAAAUCCCCGGGCUUAACCUGGGAACUGCAUUUGUGACUGCAUAGCUGGAGUACGGCAGAGGGGGAUGGAAUUCCGCGUGUAGCAGUGAAAUGCGUAGAUAUGUGGAGGAACACCGGUGGCGAAGGCGGCAUCCUGGACCGGCAUUGACGCUGAGGCGCGAAAGCCAGGGGAGCAAACGGG